AUUGAACGCUGGCGGCAUGCUUUACACAUGCAAGUCGAACGGUAACAGGCCGCAAGGUGCUGACGAGUGGCGAACGGGUGAGUAAUGCAUCGGAACGUGCCCAGUCGUGGGGGAUAACGCAGCGAAAGCUGUGCUAAUACCGCAUACGAUCUAUGGAUGAAAGCGGGGGACCGUAAGGCCUCGCGCGAUUGGAGCGGCCGAUGUCAGAUUAGCUAGUUGGUGGGGUAAAGGCGCACCAAGGCGACGAUCUGUAGCUGGUCUGAGAGGACGACCAGCCACACUGGGACUGAGACACGGCCCAGACUCCUACGGGAGGCAGCAGUGGGGAAUUUUGGACAAUGGGCGCAAGCCUGAUCCAGCAAUGCCGCGUGCAGGAAGAAGGCCUUCGGGUUGUAAACUGCUUUUGUACGGAACGAAACGGUCUGGGUUAAUACCCUGGGCUAAUGACGGUACCGUAAGAAUAAGCACCGGCUAACUACGUGCCAGCAGCCGCGGUAAUAC
rnacentral:rRNA from 1 species